UGGUAACAAUAUGGCCCACUCUUCAUCUCCCUGAAAUUGUUGUGACUGAUCUCCAGAUAAUGGUAAUGAAGGUCCAGCAAUAGCUAAUGGAUCAGGAGGAGGUGGCCUUAUAGCUGGUUGCCUUGCAAGUACAGCAUCUGAAAAAAAACAGGAGCUAGGUGCUUUUCUACGUAAGGCAUUCAAUAAAGGCAUUAAUAUUCAAUUUCAUAUAUGGCAUUCAAAUCAAUCGGUAUAAGAUAUCGGCUUGUGGAACACGACCCAACCUUCGAUUUCAAAAUAUUUCUGGCUUGGAUGUUGAUUGAAAGAAUUUACAAAUUUCGGUUUGUGAUUAUUGAUUAGACAAAUCAAUUCGACUACUACCCAACCAGAUCCAAACUAAUCGAGUUCGACUACAAACAGCAUGUAUAUAAAAAUAAUUGAUCGACUUCUACUCGUCAUCCUGUUCCAGCAAAUAAAUUGACUCCAACUCCGGUUAGACAAACAGAUCGACUGCUACUCGUCAUUUUGUUCCAGCAAAUAAAUUGACUCCAACUCCGGUUAGACAAACUGAUCGUCUGCAACUCGUCAUCCUGUUCGAGCAAAUAAAUUGACUCCAACUCCGGUUAGACGAACAGAUCGACUGCAACUCGUCAUCCUGUUCCAGCAAAUAAAUUGACUCCAACUCCGGUUAGACAAACGACUCGAGAAUCGAAUUUCAUUAAAAUGACUUGAGGUUCAGGGUAUUAAACAAAGCGACUCUAAAUCGAGACCCCGAUUUUACAAAAACUAUCGACCCCAGUUUGAGAAAUAAUUCAAUUCAAAUCCCCACUUAAAACAAGUUGAGCAACAAGUUAAACAUGCGUUUAAAAAGAAUCAUAGCUACCUGUCACUGUUUCAGUCUGCUGAACUCCAUCUUCAGUUUUUAAUUUUAUGUUUGAUGCUUCUUUACCAAAAUCUUUA